UUAUGCUAAAAAAUUGGAGCCAAUUAGAACGUCCAGAUUCUUUCGAUGCUUCUGACGGGUACCACUCGCAAGAAUUGUCGUUGGCACUAUAUCAAAGAGAGGAGAUGGCAACUAAGAGGAUGAGCUUGGUUUAUCAGGAUCAAGGAGACAAGGUUGAGUUUUCAGGACCCUUGUUGUCUCAAUCACAUAGAGUCGAUGAGCUCUUAGAGAGGCAUGAGCGGCACAUCCGCCAGGCAGUUCGGAGAUCAUGGUUCCAAAGAGGUAAAAAACAUGGGAAAUGAUCGUAAGGUGUACUUGGGCUCAAGUCACUCGUUUAGAGGAGCACGAAGAUGUAGGACAAUUGCUAACAGAGCUAACAAACCCAACGCUUACACAAAUGAACUGUCAGUUGAAUUCAGUUGAAUGAAAUUUUCUGCAUGAGUACUGAAAAUUGGAUAAAAAAUGACUAGUUUGCAAAGCUCAGACAGAGGCCAUGAAGAGGAAGCCAUCGAUAGCUCAUUCUUUUCUUCUAGCAAAGCAUUCAGUUUUUUUCUAGGUUAUAAUAUCCACUACCUACUUGUUUCCCUCUCAUUUUCUCUUUUUCUUCUUUUUAAGCUUUUCAGAUCGACCAAUUCUCUCCCCGGCAAUGUAUAUAGUGCAUUUCAUAGGUCCUACGGAUGAUCUAUGUAUAUUUCUAUGGUUCAUGAGGCUUCUAGCAUCCGGCUUAUUUCUAUUUUCUUUCUUCUAUUUUUUUGUUGUGGUUUUUUUUAUUAAUGGCUUUGCUGUGGUAAAUAGUUCUGUGACAUUUGUAGGCAAUUUUACAAAUAAUGUUGAACCAUGGCAAUGGGUACA